GACGAACGCUGGCGGCGUGCUUAACACAUGCAAGUCGAACGGAAAGGCCCUGCUUUUGUGGGGUGCUCGAGUGGCGAACGGGUGAGUAACACGUGAGUAACCUGCCCUUGACUUUGGGAUAACUUCAGGAAACUGGGGCUAAUACCGGAUAGGAGCUCCUGCUGCAUGGUGGGGGUUGGAAAGUUUCGGCGGUUGGGGAUUGACUCGCGGCUUAUCAGCUUGUUGGUGGGGUAGUGGCUUACCAAGGCUUUGACGGGUAGCCGGCCUGAGAGGGUGACCGGCCACAUUGGGACUGAGAUACGGCCCAGACUCCUACGGGAGGCAGCAGUGGGGAAUAUUGCACAAUGGGCGGAAGCCUGAUGCAGCAACGCCGCGUGCGGGAUGACGGCCUUCGGGUUGUAAACCGCUUUCGCCUGUGACGAAGCGUGAGUGACGGUAAUGGGUAAAGAAGCGCCGGCUAACUACGUG
rnacentral:rRNA from 1 species